UGGGGAAUAUUGGACAAUGGGGGAAACCCUGAUCCAGCAAUGCCGCGUGAGUGAAGAAGGCCUUAGGGUUGUAAAACUCUUUCGCCGGUGAAGAUGAUGACUGUAGCCGGUAAAGAAGCCCCGGCUAACUCCGUGCCAGCAGCCGCGGUAAUACGGAGGGGGCUAGCGUUGUUCGGAUUUACUGGGCGUAAAGCGCACGUAGGCGGCAUAUUAAGUUAGAGGUGAAAGGCCUGGGCUCAACCUAGGAACUGCCUUUGAUACUGAUAUGCUUGAGUUCGGAAGAGGGUAGUGGAAUUCCAAGUGUAGAGGUGAAAUUCGUAGAUAUUUGGAAGAACACCGGUGGCGAAGGCGGCUACCUGGUCCGAUACUGACGCUGAGGUGCGAAAGCGUGGGGAGCGAACAGGAUUAGAUACCCUGGUAGUCCACGCCGUAAACGAUGAGUGCUAGUUGUCGGGGCGCAUGCGCUUCGGUGACGUAGUUAACGCGUUAAGCACUCCGCCUGGGGAGUACGGCCGCAAGGUUA
rnacentral:rRNA from 1 species